UCGAUUAUAUUUUUUUAAUAAAAUUUGUUUUUUUUUUUUCCUUUUGUUGGAUCCCAAAUCACAUUAAAUUUAUAGUGGUUAAUGUUUAAGGUUUUAGAUUUUUUUAACUCCUCACAUUAGAUUUAACUUUGAGCCAUGUUGUUAACGAAGGGGAAUAUAUAAUGAAUUGAGAUUGUUAGAGUUUGUCCCAAAAUUAGAAUGAAGAAAAGGCUAGUGAAAUAGGCAAUUCAUUCAAUUUAAAUUCAUAGCUUGUAUAAUGAAUUAUAUCAACAUCUUUAUUUGUGAUAGGAAUACUUUUUUCCGACGCCAUCAAUUGAUGAAUGUUUUACGUAAAAAUGAAUUGUUCAU
rnacentral:lncRNA from 1 species